CAGUCGCCGCGGUAAUACGUAGGUGGCAAGCGCUGUCCGGAAUUAUUGGGCGUAAAGCGCGCGCAGGCGGAUCGGUCAGUCUGUCUUAAAAGUUCGGGGCUUAACCCCGUGAUGGGAUGGAAACUGCCAAUCUAGAGUAUCGGAGAGGAAAGUGGAAUUCCUAGUGUAGCGGUGAAAUGCGUAGAUAUUAGGAAGAACACCAGUGGCGAAGGCGACUUUCUGGACGAAAACUGACGCUGAGGCGCGAAAGCCAGGGGAGCGAACGGGAUUAGAUACCCGGGUAGUCCCUGUCUCUUAUACA
rnacentral:rRNA from 1 species